rnacentral:rRNA from 1 species
AAAACAUGUCUAUUACGAUGAUAUUUAUAGUCUAGCCUGCUCAGUGACAUAGGAAUGUUAAAUAGCCGCGGUAUCCUGACCGUGCAAAGGUAGCAUAAUCAUUAGUUUUUUAAUUGGAAACUGGAAUGAAUGGUCAAACAAAGAAAGAACUGUCUUUUUUAUUAAAAUUGAAAUUAACUUCCAAGUGAAAAGGCUUGGAUUCUCUAAGGGGACGAUAAGACCCUAUAAAGCUUUAUAAGUCUAGGAAUUUUAGAUAUUUUGUAGGAUAAAUUUAUUUUCUGAUAACUUAUUUGGUUGGGGCGACAAAGGUAUAAUUAUGGAUAACUGCUAUUAAUUUUGAUACAUUUAUUGGUGAUUGAAAUUUAGGGUAAUUGAUCCUCUUUGGGGAUUAAAAGAUCAAGUUACUUUAGGGAUAACAGCGUAAUUUUUCCUGAGAGUUCUUAUCAAAGGAGGAGUUUGCGACCUCGAUGUUGAAUUAAAAUAUCUUUAUAGUGCAGCAGCUAUAGAAGAAGGUCUGUUCGACCUUUAAAUUUUUACGUGAU